rnacentral:rRNA from 1 species
AUUGAACGCUGGCGGCAAGCCUAACACAUGCAAGUCGAACGAGAGGCGGACGGGUGGGUAAUGUCUGGGAAACUGCCUGAUGGAGGGGGAUAACUACUGGAAACGGUAGCUAAUACCGCAUACCAUCGGAUGUGCCCAGAUGGGAUUAGCUAGUAGGUGGGGUAAAGGCUCACCUAGGCGACGAUCCAUAGCUGGGCUGAGAGGAUGACCAGCCAGCUUGGAACUGAGACACGUUCCAGACUCCUACGGGAGGCAGCAGUUGGGAAUAUUGCACAAUGGGCGCAAGCCUGAUUCAGCCAUGCCGCGUGUAUGAAGAAGGCCUUCGGGUUUUAAAGUACUUUCAGCGGGGAGGCGUUACCCGCAGAAGAAGCACCGGCUAACUCCGUGCCAGCAGCCGCGGUAAUAC